UCCCUGUUGGUCCAGUGGUUAGGACUUGGCACUUUUGCUGCUGUGGCCCAGGUUCAAUCCCUGAUCAGGGAA